rnacentral:rRNA from 1 species
UAGGGAAUCUUCCACAAUGGACGAAAGUCUGAUGGAGCAACGCCGCGUGAGUGAAGAAGGGUUUCGGCUCGUAAAACUCUGUUGUUAAAGAAGAACAUAUCUGAGAGUAACUGUUCAGGUAUUGACGGUAUUUAACCAGACAGCCAGGGCUAACUACGUACCAG